rnacentral:rRNA from 1 species
UACGAAGGGGGCUAGCGUUGCUCGGAAUCACUGGGCGUAAAGGGCGCGUAGGCGGCGCGGUAAGUCACUUGUGAAAUCUCUGAGCUUAACUCAGAACGGCCAAGUGAUACUGCAGUGCUAGAGUGCAGAAGGGGCAAUCGGAAUUCUUGGUGUAGCGGUGAAAUGCGUAGAUAUCAAGAGGAACACCUGAGGUGAAGACGGGUUGCUGGGCUGACACUGACGCUGAGGCGCGAAAGCCAGGGGAGCAAACGGG